AAGAGUGCCCAGCUGGGUCUCCCCUCCCCCUCGGCCCCAGCGGCAGAUGACCGCGGCCGGCAGCCCCGUUGGACGGAAGAGGCCGUCCUGCUCAUUACUGGUGAAUAUUCGCAAAACCCCACCUCUGAGACUGUGAAGAAAGAACCACACUGGCGUCUGCCCUCAGGUUGCCAACGCCUCAGACCUCAUCACGACAGUUGUGGACAACCACCCUAAUCGGAGCAGACAGCUUUGAAAUGAAGCAGCCUUAAUCCCGUCCCUUCUAUUUCCUAGCUGUCUACCGGCUUAGACCUGACAAGUCUUAAAGUCGGCGGGGGCCUCAGUUUCUUCCUCUGGGAAAUGAGCAUAAUAGCAUUCCUCAAGUGAGAAUUCAAGCCCCGAGCAUAGUAAAAUGCUCAACAGGUGAUGUUCUUUAUCAGAGGCCAGAGCAGCAUGACAGAGCAGGCAGAGAGUGAGAUGAGCCUAACGGAAUUUGAAAGGCUUUUUGAAGGAAUGGGCAUCUGCUUUGUUUUUAAAGGAAAGGUAGGUUGUAUGAAAUAGAAAUGGGAGAGGCGGUUGGGAGGCCGGAAGCACCAACGAAUCAAGAGCCUGGAGGCAGUAAGUGCUGGGUGCCUUCUGGGAAGAGCAAGUUUUGUCUUGGGAACCAG